rnacentral:rRNA from 1 species
UACGGAGGGGGCUAGCGUUGUUCGGAAUUACUGGGCGUAAAGCGCACGUAGGCGGGCUUGUAAGUCAGGGGUGAAAUCCCGAGGCUCAACCUCGGAACUGCCUUUGAUACUGCAAGUCUCGAGUCCGAGAGAGGUGAGUGGAAUUCCUAGUGUAGAGGUGAAAUUCGUAGAUAUUAGGAAGAACACCAGUGGCGAAGGCGGCUCACUGGCUCGGUACUGACGCUGAGGUGCGAAAGCGUGGGGAGCAAACAGG